GAAUCCGAAAUGUGUUUGCAUUCAAAUUCGUCCACUACCACUGGACCACAAGGCCCGUUCAUGCGAAUAUUAAAGUUUGUUUACUGAUGCAUUAAACUUAAUAUUGUGUAUAUGCAAUGGAAUAAAGUUCAAAGAUUUUCUUGAUAUUUUAUGAUUUUAUAUGCAGUGACAGGACCAAAAAGCUGAAUUUUAUGUAUUUUAGUAUUGAAUUAGAUUAUUAUUAUUAUUGUAGUACAAAUGAAAUAUUUUGGACCGUCUGUGUCGGUUUCAAUAGAUCUUUUCCUCUCUAAUCCCAAAUCUUUGAUUUUUCUCUAAAUUAAGAAAAAGGUAUUGGCAGUUAGCUGCUACUCGUUUUCUUUCAACUGUUAUCUGAAGCCGCCCCGAUUAUUAUACCACUGUAUAUUAGUAUUUAAUAAGUAGUGAUCCUUGUUACAUAAAAAAAGUAGUGAUCCCAGUAUUAACAUCUUAGUUACACAAAAAAAAAUUCUAUAGAACAAUCCAAUGUUCGUGACGGUUUGGAUUUCAUAUUUGUGACAUGUUAUUUUAUAACCAUA
rnacentral:lncRNA from 1 species